UACAGAGGGUGCAAGCGUUAAUCGGAAUUACUGGGCGUAAAGCGAGCGUAGUCGGUUAUUUAAGUCGGGUGUGAAAGCCCCGGGCUCAACCUGGGAAUUGCAUUCGAUACUGGAUAGCUAGAGUUCGGCAGAGGGAAGCGGAAUUUCCGGUGUAGCGGUGAAAUGCGUAGAGAUUGGGAAGAACAUCAGUGGCGAAAGCGCUCUACUGGACCUUAUCUGACAUUGAGGGACGAAAGCUAGGGGAGCGAAUGGG
rnacentral:rRNA from 1 species